rnacentral:rRNA from 1 species
GUCUACGGCCAUACCACCCUGAACGCGCCCGAUCUCGUCUGAUCUCGGAAGCUAAGCAGGGUCGGGCCUGGUAAGUACUUGGAUGGGAGAAAAGAAUCCAAAGAAUCAAUGAAU